rnacentral:rRNA from 1 species
AUACGAAGGGUGCAAGCGUUACUCGGAAUUACUGGGCGUAAAGCGUGCGUAGGUGGUUGUUUAAGUCUGUCGUGAAAGCCCUGGGCUCAACCUGGGAAUGGCGAUGGAAACUGGGCGACUAGAGUGUAGCAGAGGGUAGUGGAAUUCCUGGUGUAGCAGUGAAAUGCGUAGAGAUCAGGAGGAACAUCCGUGGCGAAGGCGACUGCCUGGGCCAACACUGACACUGAGGCACGAAAGCGUGGGGAGCAAACAGGAUUAGAUACCCUGGUAGUCCACGCCCUAAACGAUGCGAACUGGAUGUUGGGUGCAAUUUGGCACGCAGUAUCGAAGCUAACGCGUUAAGUUCGCCGCCUGGGGAGUACGGUCGCAAGACUGAAACUCAAAGGAAUUGGCGGGG